CCCCUUGCCAUCUUUAACAACAUUUAAUAUUGUUGGGUACAUAAACAAGAUCGAACUAAAUAAGUCACGUGGUGUUUCUUCAAUAUGCAACGGAGUUGCAUAUUGAGCUCCAUUUAAUUUGUAGUGUUUGUUGCACUUUUCCAUGCCAUGCUUCAUUAAACCGGACAUGCAUCAUACUUGAUUGUGCAUCAUGCCAUGUUUAUGUGGUGGUUGUUUACUAUGUUGCUUGCUUCUUUCCGGUGUUGCUUCUUCGGGUUGGUUCCGGUAACGUCGUGUUUGUGAGGAUCCAUUCAACUACGUCCGUUUGUCUUCUUCAUGGACUCGUUCUUCUUCCUUGCGGGAUCUCAGGCAAGAUGACCAUACCCUCGAAACCACUUCUAUCUUUGCUUGCUAGUUGCUCGCUCUUUUGCUAUGCCUAUGCUGCGAUACCUACCACUUUCUUAUCAUGCCUCCCAUAUUGUUAAGCCAAGCCUCUAACCCACCUUGUCCUAGCAAACCGUUGUUUGGCUAUGUUACCGCUUUGCUCAGCCCCUCUUAUAGCGUUGUUAGUUAUAGGUGAAGAUUGGAGUUUGUUCCUUGUUGGAACAUGGAUAUUUGUUGGGAUAUCACAAUAUCUAAUAUUUAAAUUAAUGCAUCUAUAUACUUGGUAAAGGGUGGAAGGCUCGGCCUUAUGCCUGGUGUUUUGUUCCACUCUUGCCGCCCUAGUUUCCGUCAUAUCAGUGUUACCAUUUGCCUCACCACCACCUACUUUUCCCUUGGGAGUCGCGCUCCCGAGGGUCAUCUUAUUUCAACCCCCCGGGCCAGUGCUCCUCUGAGUGUUGGUCCGAACUGAGCUGCCUGCGGGGCCACCUCGGGGAAACUUGAGGGUUGGUUUUACUCGUAGCUAGCCUGAUCUGAGUGUGCCCUGAGAAUGAGAUAUGUGCAGCUCCUAUCGGGAUUUGUCGGCACAUUCGGGCGGCUUUGCUGGACUUGUUUUACCAUUGUCGAGGAUGUCUUGUAACCGGGAUGCCGAGUCUGAUCGGAUUGUCUUGGAAGAAGGAAUAUCCUUCGUUGACCGUGAGAGCUUGUGAUGGGCUAAGUUGGGACACCCCUGCAGGGUUUUGAACUUUCAAAAGCCAUGCCCGCGGUUAUGGGCAGAUGGGAAUUUGUUAAUGUCCGGUUGUAGAAAACCUAAACCCUAACUUAAAUAAAACGCAUCAACCGCGUGUGUAGCCAUGAUGGUGUCUUUCUGGCGGAGUCCGGGAAGUGAACACGGUGUUGGAGUUAUGUUUGACGAAGGUUGUUCUAGGAUCACUUCUUGAUCAUAGUUGUUCGACCGUGCUUUUGCCUUCUCUUCUCGCUCUCAUUUGCGUUGUUAGCCACCAAAUAUGCUAGUCGCAUGCUGCAGCUCCACCUCAUACCUUUUACCUUACCUAUAAGCUUAAAUAGUCUUGAUCACGAGGGUGUGAGAUUGCUGAGUCCCCGUGACUCACAGAUACUUCCAAAACUAGUUUGCAGGUGCCGAUGAAACCGUGCAGGUGAUGCUACCGAGCUCAAGGAGGAGCUCGAUGAAGAUCUCGUUCAUUGUGUUGUUUUGUUUCAGUUGAUCAGUAGUGGAGGCCAGUUGGGACGAUCGGGGAUCUGUGUAGCAUUUGGGGUAGUCUUCUUUUAUUUUGGGAUCCGUAGUCGGACCUUGUGUGUAUCUGGAUGAUGUAAUGUUAUAUUCAUGUAUUGUGUGAAGUGGCGAGUGUAAGCCAACUAUGUAUCUCUUUCCCUUAUGUAUUACAUGGGUUGUGUGAAGAUUACCUCACUUGCGACAUUGCUUCCAAUGCGGUUAUGCCUCUAAGUCGUGCCUCGACACGUGGGAGAUAUAGCCGCAUCGAGGGCGUUACAGAAAUACAGGCAAUGGAUGCUUUUGCAAUUCAU
rnacentral:lncRNA from 1 species